GUUAAGACUUACAUCCUAUAGGCAUGGGACACUAUUUGAAGGGCUUCCAACAGCUAAUUCUCUGCAAGUUAAUUCUUGGCUCUUCUAAAAUGGGCCCAGAAAAUUAGCUCUUCGUGUUCAAGGCUGAAGACACUGGACCCAGCAGCUCCUGCCUGGCCUGGAGUUAUUCCUUACUACUUCUUAAGGAAUGAGGAGGGGACAGGAAGUCGGGGUUUUUGACUUGGGUGCCCUUUAGUCAAGUGGAGAGGAAAAAAACCUCCCCUCAGCUCUGAAACAAGAUCAUGCAGCUAUAAAAUUUAUUGGACACAACUCA